rnacentral:rRNA from 1 species
UACGUAGGCAGCGAGCGUUGUUCGGAGUUACUGGGCGUAAAGGGUGCGUAGGCGGUUGUUUAAGUUUGGUGUGAAAUCUCCCGGCUCAACUGGGAGGGUGGUCGCGAGACGGCAGGGCUUGAGGCUCGGUGAGGGGCGUGGAAUUCCGGGUGGAGCGGUGAAAUGCGUAGAGAUCCGGAGGAACACCAACGGCGUAGGCAGCGCCCUAGACGAGACCUGACGCUCAGGCACGAAAGCGCGGGGAGCGAACAGG